rnacentral:rRNA from 1 species
UACGAAGGGGGCUAGCGUUGUUCGGAAUCACUGGGCGUAAAGCGCACGUAGGCGGCCUCUUAAGUCGGUGGUGAAAUCCUGGAGCUCAACUCCAGAACUGCCUUCGAUACUGGGAGUCUCGAGUCCGGGAGAGGUGAGUGGAACUGCGAGUGUAGAGGUGAAAUUCGUAGAUAUUCGCAAGAACACCAGUGGCGAAGGCGGCUCACUGGCCCGGUACUGACGCUGAGGUGCGAAAGCGUGGGGAGCAAACAGG